rnacentral:lncRNA from 1 species
CUCCUUCCAGCAUAUUGUCACCCUACUUAGCUCAUAAAACUAAAUCAGUAUUUUUAUUAGCAAAGAGGAGAUAAUAGAUAUUGCGCAGACAAUGAAAAUAUGUCACUCUGACUAUUCAAAGUAUUUUCUGAAGGUUAAACUUGGCAGCUGGCAAGAGAGAAUUGGUUUUGCAGGGGACCCUGAAUGAAUACAUGAAUUCUGGGCAAUUAUUGUUCAUGAGUAGCAGGUUUUUUAUUAACCUUCAAUAUGUGUUUUUUUAAAAAGCUUAAAUUUACCCUCAAAAUAUAUUGGAAUUUCCUUAGCUUAUAACAACAUAAUCAUUUAGAGAUCUAUUAUAGAUUGCUUAUUAUAAUUUAGAUAAAACAUUAAGUUGGAAAAGAGUAUUACUCGUUCUCAUAGAUAUCUCCAAUGAAGUUCUAUAUGUUAAUGAUGAUUAUAAAGGACAACUUAUUAAGUUAGUAAAAUCUGCAUACCUUUGCUUUUGGUUGGAUUAAAUGCUUUCGGUUGUAAUGGCUCUUAUUAGCAGAAGUUCCUUAGCAUCUGUGGUUUAGAUUAAGUAGCAGUAAAGCCUGAUGUAUAAAUAG